AUUGAACGCUGGCGGCAGGCCUAACACAUGCAAGUCGAACGAGUGGCGGACGGGUGAGUAAUGUCUGGGAAACUGCCUGAUGGAGGGGGAUAACUACUGGAAACGGUAGCUAAUACCGCAUACCAUCAGAUGUGCCCAGAUGGGAUUAGCGUGUUGGUGGGGUAACGGCUCACCAAGCCAACGAUCCCUAGCUGGUCUGAGAGGAUGACCAGCCAAACUGGAUCGAGGAAACGGGCCAGCCUCCUACGGGAGGCAGCAGUGGGGAAUAUUGACCAAUGGGCGCAAGCCUGAGGCAGCCAUGCCGCUUGUAUGAAGAAGGCCUUCGGGUUGUAAAGUACUUUCAGCGGGGAGGGGUUUCCCGCAGAAGAAGCACCGGAUAACUCCGUGCCAGAGGCCGCGGAAUAC
rnacentral:rRNA from 1 species